rnacentral:rRNA from 1 species
UACAGAGGGUGCGAGCGUUAAUCGGAAUUACUGGGCGUAAAGCGCACGUAGUCGGCUUUGCAAGUCGGUUGUGAAAUCCCCGGGCUCAACCCUGGGAACUGCAUCCGAGACUGCAUUGCUAGAGUAUGGGAGAGGAAAGCGGAAUUUCUGGUGUAGCAGUGAAAUGCGUAGAUAUCAGAAGGAACAUCAGUGGCGAAGGCGGCUGCCU